AUUGAACGCUGGCGGCAGGCUUAACACAUGCAAGUCGAGCGGAGAGAGGUAGCUUGCUACCGAUCUUAGCGGCGGACGGGUGAGUAAUGCUUAGGAAUCUGCCUAUUAGUGGGGGACAACAUUUCGAAAGGAAUGCUAAUACCGCAUACGUCCUACGGGAGAAAGCAGGGGAUCUUCGGACCUUGCGCUAAUAGAUGAGCCUAAGUCGGAUUAGCUAGUUGGUGGGGUAAAGGCCUACCAAGGCGACGAUCUGUAGCGGGUCUGAGAGGAUGAUCCGCCACACUGGGACUGAGACACGGCCCAGACGCCUACGGGAGGCAGCAGUGGGGAAUAUUGGACAAUGGGCGCAAGCCUGAUCCAGCCAUGCCGCGUGUGUGAAGAAGGCCUUAUGGUUGUAAAGCACUUUAAGCGAGGAGGAGGCUACUUUAGUUAAUACCUAGAGAUAGUGGACGUUACUCGCAGAAUAAGCACUGGCUAACUCUGUGCCAGCAGCCGCCGUAACAC
rnacentral:rRNA from 1 species